rnacentral:rRNA from 1 species
CGAUCUGUAGCUGGUCUGAGAGGAUGAUCAGCCACACCGGGACUGAGACACGGCCCGGACUCUUACGGGAGGCAGCAGUGGGGAAUAUUGGACAAUGGGGGAAACCCUGAUCCAGCCAUGCCGCGUGUGUGAAGAAGGCCUUUUGGUUGUAAAGCACUUUAAGCAGUGAAGAAGACCUAACGGUUAAUACCCGUUAGCGAUGACAUUAGCUGCAGAAUAAGCACCGGCUAACUCUGUGCCAGCAGCCGCGGUAAUACAGAGGGUGCAAGCGUUAAUCGGAAUUACUGGGCGUAAAGCGAGCGUAGGUGGCUUGAUAAGUCAGAUGUGAAAUCCCCGGGCUUAACCUGGGAACUGCAUCUGAUACUGUUAAGCUAGAGUAGGUGAGAGGGAAGUAGAAUUCCAGGUGUAGCGGUGAAAUGCGUAGAGAUCUGGAGGAAUACCGAUGGCGAAGGCAGCUUCCUGGCAUCAUACUGACACUGAGGCUCGAAAGCGUGGGUAGCAAACAGGAUUAGAUACCCUGGUAGUCCACGCCGUAAACGAUGUCUACUAGUCGUUGGGUCCCUUGAGGACUUAGUGACGCAGCUAACGCAAUAAGUAGACCGCCUGGGGAGUACGGCCGCAAGGUUAAAACUCAAAUGAAUUGACGGGGGCCCGCACAAGCGGUGGAGCAUGUGGUUUAAUUC